rnacentral:lncRNA from 1 species
UGAAGGUGUCCGCAGAGCGUCGCAUGGUAAGUAGUCCCUUGGGGCUCUAGAGAAUGCUUGCUGUCUUUGGCUUGAUCCCAGUGGCAGCCUCUGCUAGACUAGUCCUGCCCCCCAGUUAGUGCUCAUGGGGUACCAGAGACCUGACCCCACCCUGUCUGCUCUAGGCUAAUAGUGCCCUGCUUCCCUGGGCUUGUACCACCUUGUGUAGUAUCUCCCUACUCUUCUGUAUCCUUGGCUGGGAAACUUGCUUCCUAGCACCAGACCUUCCUUGAUGUGGUUGUUUGCUUUCCUUUCACUUAUCUUUUCUUUCCUACAGGAGUGGGAUGGACAUCAGUCAGAUCCACACCGGUCUUCAUGGCAGCCCCCCUUUUUUAUUUAUUUAUUUAUUUAUUUUUGAGACAAGAUCUCACUGAAUUAUCCAUACUGGCCUUAAAACUUGGAAUCCUUAUGCCUUAGACUCCAGCAUUUCUGGCAUAAACUGCUGUGUCCAGUCUAGAAGGCAUUUUGGUGAACCACCCCUGUAAGACUGAGCUGGGGGGGGAGGGUGUCAGGCACCCAGUUUUGAGUUACUCACACCCAGCCUCUCCCAAGUGUGACACAGUAUCUGCCUAAUAAAUUCACGAAGAAAG